UACGGAAGGCAGCAGUGGGGAAUAUUGCACAAUGGGCGCAAGCCUGAUGCAGCCAUGCCGCGUGUAUGAAGAAGGCCUUCGGGUUGUAAAGUACUUUCAGUCGUGAGGAAGGUGUUAAGGUUAAUAACCUUAGUAAUUGACGUUAGCGACAGAAGAAGCACCGGCUAACUCCGUGCCAGCAGCCGCGGUAAUACGGAGGGUGCGAGCGUUAAUCGGAAUUACUGGGCGUAAAGGGCACGCAGGCGGUUAAUUAAGUUGGAUGUGAAAUCCCCGGGCUUAACCUGGGAAUGGCAUUCAAGACUGGUUAGCUAGAGUCUUGUAGAGGGGGUAGAAUUCCAUGUGUAGCGGUGAAAUGCGUAGAGAUGUGGAGGAAUACCGGUGGCGAAGGCGGCCCCUGGACAAAGACUGACGCUCAUGUGCGAAAGCGUGGGGAGCAAACAGGGAUUAGAUACC
rnacentral:rRNA from 1 species